UACAGAGGUCUCAAGCGUUGUUCGGAUUCAUUGGGCGUAAAGGGUGCGUAGGUGGCGGGGUAAGUCAGGUGUGAAAUUUCGGAGCUUAACUCCGAAACUGCAUUUGAUACUGCCUUGCUUGAGGACUGGAGAGGAGACUGGAAUUCACGGUGUAGCAGUGAAAUGCGUAGAUAUCGUGAGGAAGACCAGUGGCGAAGGCGGGUCUCUGGACAGUUCCUGACACUGGAGGCACGA
rnacentral:rRNA from 1 species